GGGUGUGAAAAUUAAAAAAAAAAAACUAUUUAACCGUAUCUGUGUAUGCACGCGUGUGCACACAUUUAAAAGAAAUCUGUGCACCUGGACGAACUCUCAUAGAAGGAAAUCUGCAGUACAUAUAAAAUGAAUAGUUGGCUCUAAGAAACAGACCCCUAGAAUUAAACAGAACUACUAGAGAACAGGUUUUAAAUAAACUAACGUAAAAAAUAGCAGUGUAUGUUUAUGCACCUUGUAACACGAGGUGGUAUCUCCUCCUCUCCCUGCCCGGCCCCAGGUCACAGUCCUGAAGUAAACUUUAAUUUGCUCAUCUUCUAAAUGAGAGAGUGAAAACGCAAUCAUCUGUAUAAAACUCCUCACCUCCCAAAGUUAGCAGAAAAAGGCAAUUAAUUUAUUGUACCAAAGGAGGUGGAAGAGUGGAUUUACGUUAUUGUAAAUAGAAACAUUUGAUUUCCAAGCCUCUCCAUUGCGGAUUUUUCCACCAGAAAGCCCAUAUGGCUCAACUUUUAAUUACUUUGGCUAAUGCUAUAUGUAGUAAUUCUGUGGUGAAUGCUUAAGUGUUUCAUUGCUGGUUUCCAUGGCAACAUUACAUCAGAUUACAGACAGCUGGCUCCACAGUUUUAAACCAUAACAAAUUGACCAAGCCAAGGCACAAAACUAGAGCUGCUUUAAAGAGACAGUGCACCAUUCGCCUGCCAGGGUGCUGAAUGAGGGGCCUAUGGGGCCCACUUGGCAGGCCAAGGAGGGUGGAGCCUCCUUCCUUCUCAGCUUCUCUUGGAACAUGUGCAUCCUUGACACAUCUGCAAUGUUCUAAUGGGAAAGACAUGGGGCCAGCGUGGAGGACUUUUCAUAACACAGCUACGCAGAGGAGGAUCGGAAAAAAAAAGGGAACACAAUUAAUAGCAUCUGUAGACAGAAAAGUGUGUGAGUCGAGCAAACGGAACGGCAGCAUCCCGCGCUCUCCAGCCCGUCCCUGCAGAGCUAUGCCUUAUUGGGUGAGCGUGCUGGGAAAGAAGGCUCGGGGUUCCAUAGCAGGGAAGGAAAGAAGGGAAGGAGGACAAAUCUCGAAGAAGCUGAACAGAAAAGAGGAAAGCAUCCUAGCCGGGAGCAGUCAAAAAAGCUUUUCCUUGCAGGGACAGAAAGCACAUUUUCCCUUUCACGUUAAACACACCCAACG